GCAUAUCAAUAAGCGGAGGAAAAAGAAACCAACAGGGAUUGCCCCUAGUAACGGCGAGUGAAGCGGCAACAGCUCAAAUUUGAAAUCUGGCCCCCGGGUCCGAGUUGUAAUUUGUAGAGGAUGCUUUUGGUGCGGUACCUUCCGAGUUCCCUGGAACGGGACGCCAUAGAGGGUGAGAGCCCCGUCUGGUUGGACGCCAAUCCUCUGUAAAGCUCCUUCGACGAGUCGAGUAGUUUGGGAAUGCUGCUCUAAAUGGGAGGUAUAUGUCUUCUAAAGCUAAAUAUUGGCCAGAGACCGAUAGCGCACAAGUAGAGUGAUCGAAAGAUGAAAAGCACUUUGAAAAGAGAGUUAAAAAGUACGUGAAAUUGUUGAAAGGGAAGCGCUCAUGACCAGACCUGGGCCCGGUUGAUCAUCCAGGGUUCUCCCUGGUGCACUCUUCCGGCCCAGGCCAGCAUCAGUUCGCUGUGGGGGACAAAGGCUUCGGGAAUGUGGCUCCUCCGGGAGUGUUAUAGCCCGCUGCGUAAUGCCCUGUGGCGGACUGAGGUUCGCGCAUCUGCAAGGAUGCUGGCGUAAUGGUCACCAGCGACCCGUCUUGAAACACGGACCAAGGAGUCGUCUUCGUAUGCGAGUGUUCGGGUGUUAAACCCCUACGCGGAAUGAAAGUGAACGCAGGUGAGAGCUUCGGCGCAUCAUCGACCGAUCCUGAUGUUCUCGGAUGGAUUUGAGUAAGAGCAUACGGGGCCGGACCCGAAAGAAGGUGAACUAUGCCUGUAUAGGGUGAAGCCAGAGGAAACUCUGGUGGAGGCUCGCAGCGGUUCUGACGUGCAAAUCGAUCGUCAAAUAUGGGCAUGGGGGCGAAAGACUAAUCGAACCUUCUAGUAGCUGGGUUUCCGCCGA
rnacentral:rRNA from 1 species